UACGAAGGGGUCUAGCGUUGCUCGGAAUCACUGGGCGUAAAGCGCACGUAGGCGGAUCUUUAAGUCAGGGGUGAAAUCCUGGAGCUCAACUCCAGAACUGCCUUUGAUACUGAGGAUCUUGAGUCCGGGAGAGGUGAGUGGAACUCCGAGUGUAGAGGUGAAAUUCGUAGAUAUUCGGAAGAACACCAGUGGCGAAGGCGGCUCACUGGCCCGGUACUGACGCUGAGGUGCGAAAGCGUGGGGAGCAAACAGG
rnacentral:rRNA from 1 species